UGAAACCCCAACGAGCCGUCCUCACACAUGGCUCGCCCUCUCGUACAUGUGCACCAGGGAGCCGAUCCCUCAUACGGCCAACUGGUCUAAUCCUCACUGACCAGUCCUCUCAUUGUUUUUCCAUUCUCUCUUUUCUUUUCCAUACCCACAGGAGGCAACCCGGUGGUCUCCAUCCAAUCUAGAUCAUCAAGUGCUCACAACAGGAGGCCACCCUGCG
rnacentral:lncRNA from 1 species